GACCUCGGAUCAGGUAGGAG
rnacentral:rRNA from 1 species